rnacentral:rRNA from 1 species
GAUGAACGCUGGCGGCGUGCCUAAUACAUGCAAGUCGAGCGAACAGACGAUGAGCUUGCUCCUCUGACGUUAGCGACGGACGGGUGAGUAACACGUGGAUAACCUACCUAUAAGACUUGGAUAACUUCGGGAAACCGGAGCUACUACCGGGUAAUAUAUUUAACCGCAUGGUUCAAUAGUGUAAGACGGUUUUGCUGUCACUUAUAGCUAUAUCCGCGCCGCAUUAGCUAUUUGGUAAGGUAACGGCUUACCAAGGCAACGAUGCGUAGCAGACCUGAGAGGGGGAUCGGCCACACUGGAACUGAGACACGGUCCAGAAUCCUACGGGAGGCAGCAGUAGGGAAGCUUCCGCAAGGGGCGAAAGCCUGACGGAGCAACGACGCGUGAGUGAUGAAGGUCUUCGGAUCGUAAAACUCUGUUAUUAGGGAAGAACAAAUGUGUAAGUAACUAUGCACGUCUUGACGGUACCUAAUCAGAAAGCCACGGCUAACUACGUG